AACUGCUGGGUGACAGUGACUGAAGGCAGUGCAGUCAUCAAUGGAAGGUACAGAGCCACUGCAGCAGAAUGCAGCAUACUUGGGACUGGAUAUUGCAGUGCAAAGACUACUGGACUGCAGCAUCCCAGAAGAUCACUGUGGAUACGUUGGAGGAACCUGAGACAGAGAAUUCUGCUGUGAACUGCACGGAGGAGGAGGGGGCAGACAUGGCAGGGGUCCAGCCAUGCCACAAGUCAGGACCUGUUCAAGACUCCAUCACAGUCUAGUCACUCCUGCCAACCAAGCAAGAAGAGUGCGAUGAAGGGGAAGGGACCUUGGGCUGCGACUGUCUCCCGACCUACCCUGGCAUCCCCCUCGCAGAAGCUGGCACAGAUUAG